GAAGAAAGAGGGCGGCGGGGAGAAUACAGGCAAGUAGAACGCAGUUGCGAACGGGUGAGUAACGCGUAGGUAACUGCCUCAUAGCGGGGGAUAACUAUUGGAAACGAUAGCUAAUACCGCAUACUGUGAGAUGGACCUGCGUUGUAUUAGCUAGUUGGUGAGGUAAAGGCUCACCAAGGCGAUGAUACCUAGCCGACCUAAGAGGGUGAUCAGCCACACUGGUCCUGAGACAAGGCCCAGACUCCUACGGGAGCCAGCAGUAGGGCAUCUUCGUCAAUGGACGGAAGUCUGACCUAGCAACGCCGCGGGAGUGCUGAAGGUUUUCUGAUCGUACCGCUCUGUUGUUAGAGAAGCGGUAACUAACCAGAAAGGGACGGCUAACUACGUGCCUUCCGCCGCCCUAAUAC
rnacentral:rRNA from 1 species